CGUUAUAUGCCUUUUAUUGUCAUCCAAAUUUUUAUGUUGCCGCCCGUUCCUGAGAAUGGUUUUAUUGAUCGGUAAAAUGACAAGCCCGAAUUCAUAUUCGGGCUUUUUUUAUGG
rnacentral:sRNA from 1 species